UGCUUCGCAGGGAGGUUUUCUGAUCACGGGGUGGAACUGAGCGGUGUCUCGGGGAGCACCGCGGGUUGCGCUGGGUGCUGCGGGGGUCUCCUGGGCUUAGAGAGAUUGAAUGGGAAUGGUGAACCCCUCUGGGAGAGGGGGGGAAGGAGGAAGAUGGAGCCGUGUACGUAAAUGGAUAAACAGCCGUUAGUGGAGAUGGGGACUUUGGAGGCUUUGUCUAAGCCUGAGUCACUGAAGACCUUGGGUUCCUGCUGCCAAGCCCUGGCUGCUGGUGCUGACAACGUAAAUUCCCAACGAUGUCACAUCACAUGAUGGCGAAGCUGGUUUGAAGCCCGGGCUCUCAAAGCGACUUCCAGCAGACCAUGACGGGAAUCAAGGUAGGGAUGUCACCACUAAUUGCAUUGGCUAUGGCGGCGCUCGUGGGCAACCAGGGGCCGGCUCAGGAGCCCCAGCAGCACUCGUGCAUCCCGGCAGUGCCCAGCUGUGCUCUCGUCCUCCUGGUGGGGCACCGGGAUGAGCCGGGUCUGUGAGCUGUGCCGCUGUGGGCAGCACAGGAGCCCGGCAGGACCUGCUUUGUUGUGUGCAGAGCUGCGAGGAGGGCUGCGGGAUGCUCGCUGGCUGCCACAGCCGCGUCGUUGCGGGCAGAUUUAUUAAGCUCAGUCUCGGCAGCGGUGUCACCGCAGCUGGCGGCACAUCUGGAGCAGGAGGAAGGGGAGGGCAGCUCCGUAAAUCACGGGGUUGAUUUGGGUGAGCGCUGCUGCUGGCUGUUAGGGUCGUCGUGUAUGGUUCUGAGGGCAGCGAGCUCGUGCCCAGCCAGCAGCUGCAGUGUGUGCUCGUGCACCCCUCUGCUAUUGUUUGGUGCAUCACAAGGCGUUCAGUGACUUUGAUACGGCAAUGCACAGUGGCAUCGUGGCGGCAGAGGGAGGUCCAUCCGGCACUGUUGGUUUCCGUUUGCUGUUGUCAAGAUUUCCAAAGCUGCUUAAGGAAUUGUAGCACCAAACCCUGUUAGAUCCGGGGGAAUGGGAUCCAGAAAUCCCCGCCAUCCCUUCUUCACUCUUUGUCAGGCUCUUGCUCCAAGCUGUAUCCUGACGGGUGUCCUGCACAGGGCAUGAGAUGUGGCGGGGACAGGAGGGGCAUUGCCACCAUUCCUGCCUGCUGAGCAGAAAGACACGCAGCUUCCUUCUCUCUGCACCACAACACAACAUCUGUUUGAAAGAACAACAAAUACAUGGGUGAGGUGUCCGCUGCCCCGCAUCUGUUGCCAGCUGUGGUUGGGGUCUGCGGUGUGCUUGGUGUCUGCAUUGCUGGGGCCGCCCAGCUUGUGUAAUUCCUGUAAGAUUUGAAGUGUGAAGGUAUGAGAGAGAGAGAUUGUUAUCUCUGGGAGUAAAAAGUUGCCAUUGUAACAUUCAGAUUCAUUUUAGAAGUCAUUUUUAAACCUUAAGUUAAGAAAAAAAUACCUCGAAUUAAGUGCCUAAAGAAGCUACAAAACCUGACU
ensembl:lncRNA